GGAAGUCUCCCUCCUUCAUUGUGUCUUGAGACCUUGAGAAGAAGAGAGAUGAAGCUCAGUUCUCUGCUUCUGUUGAUUGCCCUCAGCUGCUGCUCUGCCAAAGAUCGUUAUAGAGAAAAGUGAUAAUCUCUGCAAAGAUGAAUAGAUAAACUCACGCAUCAAGACCUUCCACUUCCUACCACACAAUGUGACAAUUGUCAAGGUAAGAACAGACUCCUCCCCUCUUGUCUUUAUAAAUCAUAUCCCGCAAUAUUAAGUUGAGUGUUUUAUGUCUAUCUAUUUUUGUAUAUCUAUAACUAGAUGCAUGUUAUGGAGGAAUGUAAGAUUACCUAAACUAUAAGAACCUGUAAAAUUUCUGGCUAUGCUAUUGCAAAUAAAAUUAAUUGAAUGUAGUAUUCAUAUGGCUGAUAUUCCUUGAAAAUCUGAUAUUACUAGUUAUUAAUUCAAGUAUCUCGUAAUGUUUUUAUACAGCGCUCAUUAUGUCUUUUUAUUCAGGUGCAUAGAUAAUCAAAACUCAAGUAUCUUGAUUAAUAGAUGGCAUUAUUCAAAGUAGUAAGUUUGAGUCUGAGUUUGACUACUGACUACAGUAAUACAGUACGAUGGAACAACUGAUCCUGAGUCAGCCAACCAAAGGCUCUACACAUGUAAGGUGAAAAGUUCCUUGAAGUGUAUGGUUAAUAUUUUGUGGAUGUAAAUAGUCAACAGUUCAUGAAACUUAAUGGUAAACAUUUAAUGGAAGUUAAUGGUAAAUAGUUUAUGGGCGUUGAUGGUCUGGAGUUAAUGGAAGUUCUCCUCAAUAGUUCAUUGAAGUUAAUGAUCAAUAUUUAAUUGAAGUUAAUGGUUAAUAGUUCAUGGAAUAUAAUAGUCCAUAGUUCAUGGAAGGAAAUGCUAAACAGUUCAUGGUGAAGUGCAUUAUAUAUUAUAUUUCAAUAAUCAUUUGAGCCUCUGGCUUAUGAUUUUAAAGGUAGAUUCAUGACAGAAAUAUCACUGUAUGUUUUAAAUUUGAAUAAAGAAAUAUUCUAAAUGUUCUUUGAUGUUUAUUAAUUGUUUUUAUGUCGUUCAUAAACUAUAACUUGGUUGACUUAAAAAAGAAAAACUUUAAAAAAUGUGUUAAUAAAACAAGAUGCUUGGUUAAGUUAACUUUUAAGAUGUUUACAUAAUGUAUACUUUAUGUAAACACUUUUUUCAUGUUUCAUGUACAAUUCAAGAAGUCAAUACAAGUUUGUUGCGCAAACUAGUAGUUUUAAGUUGUCUCAACCAUGAUUUUUUACAUUUUUACAUCAAAUACGUUUUUUACAUUUUGAAAUGUAUUGCAGGUAUCAAUAAAAACGUGUUGGUUAAAUUCAAAUACCGUAGUCACCUCAACUAUUCAUUCUAAGUUAAAGAACCAAAUCUUUUAUAAACUUAACAUUUUGAGGCAGUCAGGUUACUCAUUAUUUUAAGGUGAACAAAGCUCACUAUUCUUCACAGUGAGUAUAUAAAACAUGCGUAAAGCAAUAAAUAUAUGGUUGUAGUGUUUUCACCCAUUGGCUGAGACACCAUCAAAGAGAACACACAUUUAACAACUUUGCUUUAAAAAUCCGUGGAACGGGAUUUCUGGAGUUCUAACUUCAGUCGUCUUCACUGCAGGUGAUCACCAUGACAUCCCGCCCGCUUCCAUGAUGAUGGACGCCGCCCAGUCACCUGACCAAUCUAACGCCAGCCCCGCCCCCCGGGUGUCGGAGCCGUUACAGGAACAGUCGGACACGCUGUGGAGGAAGGAGGUCCUGGACCUGCUCACACAGCUGGUCCUGGUCCAGAAGGAGAUGGCCCAGCAUCAGGUUCAGGUGGUGCAGCUGCUCAACAUGCUGGGAACUCAGGGCUCUCAGCAGAUCCUGGAUCUGCAGAACAUGGCUCGUCACCAGAGUCUGCUGGUUGAGAACCAUCAAGCUUUACUUCUGCAGACGUCUCGCAUCUCCACACAGCUGCAGGAGAUCAACAGGAAACCUGCCUCCUGCCAAUGAGAUCCUCUGGUUAUUUACUUGCAAGCAAUGGGAUCUUCUGGUGCUCAACUGGCAGGCAAUGGGAUUGUCUAAUUCUUCACAGAUCCUAUGCACUCUAAUCAUUACUAAUGAUUAACAGUGUGAUGAUAGAUAUAAACUUUAACCAAACAUUUAUUAAAAAAAAUUACAACAUUUUAGAAUCAAAUAAUUGAUUUCUAUGUUUCAUUAAAUAACCUUAAAAGUGAACUGCUGCUUUCUUUUCACCUGAAGCAAUCAGCUUCUUUUGUUAUAAUGUGUUGUAUGUUCUGAUGUUUCUAUUAAUAAAUUACAUCUUGUUUGAUUAUCUUUC
ensembl:lncRNA